UGAGGAAUAUUGCGCAAUGGGGGAAACCCUGACGCAGCAAUGCCGCGUGGGUGAAGAAGGCCUUCGGGUCGUAAAGCCCUUUCGGACGGGACGAAAGUUCCGCGGGGAUAAUCCGCGGAGCCUGACGGUACCGUAGGAAGAAGCACCGGCUAACUCCGUGCCAGCAGCCGCGGUAAUACGGAGGGUGCAAGCGUUGUUCGGAAUUACUGGGCGUAAAGCGCGUGUAGGCGGCCUUGUAAGUCAGAUGUGAAAGCCCUCGGCUCAACCGGGGAAGUGCAUCUGAAACGGCAAGGCUUGAGUACGGGAGAGGGAGGCGGAAUUCCCAGUGUAGAGGUGAAAUUCGUAGAUAUUGGGAGGAACACCGGUGGCGAAAGCGGCCUCCUGGACCGAUACUGACGCUGAGACGCGAAAGCGUGGGGAGCAAACAGGAUUAGAUACCCUGGUAGUCCUAGCCCUAAACGAUGUGCACUAGGUAGUGGGAGGUUCCGACUUCCCGCUGCCGGAGCAAAAGUUUUAAGUGCACCGCCUGGGGAGUACGGUCGCAAGAUUA
rnacentral:rRNA from 1 species